UGGGGAAUUUUGGACAAUGGGGGAAACCCUGACGCAGCGACGCCGCGUGUGGGAUGAAGGUCUUCGGAUUGUAAACCACUGUCGCGAGGGACGAAGCUCUGACGGUACCUCGAAAGGAAGCACCGGCUAACUCUGUGCCAGCAGCCGCGGUAAUACAGAGGGUGCGAGCGUUGUUCGGAAUCACUGGGCAUAAAGCGCACGUAGGCGGCUAGGUCCGUCCGAUGUGAAAGCCCCCGGCUCAACCGGGGAAUUGCAUCGGAUACAGCCUGGCUUGAGGACGGUUGGGGUGAGUGGAACUCCUGGUGGAGCGGUGAAAUGCGUAGAUAUCAGGAGGAACACCGGUGGCGAAAGCGGCUCACUGGACGUGUAUUGACGCUGAGGUACGAAAGCGUGGGGAGCAAACAGGAUUAGAUACCCAAGUAGUCCCUGAGCGGGCUGGCAAGGCGCAU
rnacentral:rRNA from 1 species